AGUAUGUGCACCCCCCAAAACCCAUAUUUCGUGAAUCGCUAUUUGCUUUACACUCUCUUCUUUUAUAGUCCUUGAUGGCCUCGAGAAGGGAUUCAAGGACAAACUUGCCCCAAUUAUAUUCUCGGGCAGAAGACACACUGAAGCUCGCUCUGGGCCUUCUGAUCCCAUCGUGGUUGCUAGACUUGAUGAAUUGGAGAAGGCUGUCCGUAAGCUGAAUGAGGCUGCUUUCUUUUCAC
rnacentral:lncRNA from 1 species